GAUGAAGAACGCAGCGAAAUGCGAUAAGUAAUGCGAAUUGCAGAAUUUCCGUGAGUCAUUGAAUCUUUGAACGCACAUUGCGCCCUCGGGUAUUCCCGAGGGCAUGCCUGUCCGAGCGUCAUUAUCCAACCAUCAAGCUCGGCUUGCGGUUGAGCCCCGCACCGUCCCCGGGACGGUGGGCUCGAAACAUGUUGGGCGCCCGUGAGGUUCUCGGUGCAGCGAGCUCUCGAGCACGUGCCGGGCAACCUCUCUGGGCGUCGGCCAACCCCCCAAUUUCUCAGGUUGACCUCGGAUCAGGUAGGAAUACCCGCUGAACUUAAGCAUAUCAAUAAGCGGAGGA
rnacentral:misc_RNA from 1 species